AUUCCAGCUCCAAUAGCGUAUAUUAAUGUUGUUGCAGUUAAGAAGCUCGUAGUUGGAUUUCUGGAUUGAGCGGCUGGCCUUGCGCGCAAGCGUUCGUGUCGGCUUCGUUUCGGUCCAUCCUCAGGGGGACUUGCGCUGGCAUUAACGUGUCGGUGUUGGGACGCCUGUCGUUUACUGUGAACAAAUUAGAGUGUUCAAAGCAAGGUGUACUUGAAUACAUUAGCAUGGAAUAAUAAGAUAGGACUUUGGUGGUUCUUUUUGAUAUUUUGUUGGUUUGCACGCCAAAGUAAUGAUUAAUAGGAGCAGUUGGGGGUAUUCGUAUUCAAUUGUCAGAGGUGAAAUUCUUGGAUUUAUAGAAGACGAACUACUGCGAAAGCAUUUACCAAGGAUGUUUUCAUUA
rnacentral:rRNA from 1 species